rnacentral:rRNA from 1 species
UACGUAGGGCGCAAGCGUUAUCCGGAAUUACUGGGCGUAAAGAGCUCGUAGGUGGUUUGUCGCGUUGUUCGUGAAAACCGGGGGCUUAACCCUCGGGCGCUGCGGGCGGAUACGGGAGACGUUGAGUACUGCAGGGGAGACUGGGAAUUCCUGGUGUAGCGGUGGGAAUGCGCAGAUAUCAGGAGGAACACCGGUGGCGAAGGCGGAUCUCUGGGCCAUUACUGACGCUGAGGAGCGAAAGCGUGGGGAGCGAACAGG